rnacentral:rRNA from 1 species
AAGCGUUGUUCGGAAUUACUGGGCGUAAAGGGCUCGUAGGCGGCCAACUAAGUCGGACGUGAAAUCCCUCGGCUUAACCGGGGAACUGCGUCCGAUACUGGAUGGCUUGAGUUCGGGAGAGGGAUGCGGAAUUCCAGGUGUAGCGGUGAAAUGCGUAGAUAUCUGGAGGAACACCGGUGGCGAAGGCGGCAUCCUGGACCGACACUGACGCUGAGGAGCGAAAGCCAGGGGAGCAAACGGG